rnacentral:rRNA from 1 species
CUUUGUAGCAAUAUAGAAGAUGGAGAGUGGCGCACGGGUGAAGUAACACAUAGAUGAUCUGCCUUUCAGACUGGGACAACUCAGGGAAACUUGAGCUAAUACCAGAUAAGACCCCAUGAAGGGAUUCACGUGAUCAAAGGGGGAGCAAUCUCCUGCUGGAAGAUGAGUCUAUGUCCUAUCAGCUAGUUGGUGGGUAACGGCCUACCAAGGCGAAGACGGGUAGCCGGCCUGAGAGGGUGAACGGCCACACUGGAACUGAGACACGGUCCAGACUCCUACGGGAGGCAGCAGUGAGGAAUUUUCCGCAAUGGGCGCAAGCCUGACGGAGCGACGCCGCGUGAAGGGAUGAAGGUUUUCGGAUCGUAAACCUCUUUUAUCAAGGAAAAAGGCUUAUAUGAUAAUACCAUAUGAGUUUGAUUGUACUUAAUGAAUAAGCCCCGGCUAACUACGUGCCAGCCGCGGC